rnacentral:rRNA from 1 species
UACGUAGGGUGCAAGCGUUGUCCGGAAUUAUUGGGCGUAAAGAGCUCGUAGGCGGUUUGUCGCGUCGGCUGUGAAAACUCGGGGCUCAACCCCGAGCCUGCAGUCGAUACGGGCAGACUAGAGUGCUGUAGGGGAGACUGGAAUUCCUGGUGUAGCGGUGAAAUGCGCAGAUAUCAGGAGGAACACCGGUGGCGAAGGCGGGUCUCUGGGCAGUACCGACGUUCAGGCACGAAAGCGUGGGGAGCAAACAGG